GUGACCAUGUCACGUGUCGAAGAGCAAAGCAAACGACGACGAAGAUUGAAACGCUGCACUCGAUCGAUCGGUUCAAUCCAUCGGACUUAGGCGUAGUCCUGGUCGGCGACCUGCUGGUAGUUGCCGCCGAUGAAGACGUCGCCGUAGAUGAGGCCGGCGAGGCCACCGCCGAUGAGCGGGCCGACCCAGUAGACCCAGUUGCCGGCGAAGUUGCCAGCGGCGACGGCGGGGCCGAAGGAGCGGGCGGGGUUCAUGGAGCCGCCGCUGAAGGGGCCGGCGGCAAGGAUGUUGGCACCGACGAUGAAGCCGAUGGCGAUGGGGGCGAUGGUGCCGAGGGAGCCCUUCUUGGGGUCGGCGGCGGUGGCGUACACGGUGUACACGAGCGCGAAGGUGAUGAUGAUCUCGAACACCACGCCCUCCAGCUCGCUGAUGCCGGCGACGCCGUGGGUCGGGAUGGCCUUGCCGUGGGUCACGAACUUGAGGAGCAGGCAGGCCACGGAGGCGCCGAGCAGCUGGGCGACCCAGUAGAAGAGGCCGGUGAGGAUGGUGAUGUGGCCGCCGACGGCGAGGCCGAAGGUCACGGCGGGGUUGAGGUGACCGCCGGAGAUGUUGGCGGCGACGGAGACGCCGACGAAGAGGGCCAAUGCGUGGGCGAUCGCGAUCGCCACCAGGCCGGAAGCGUCGAGCGCGCCGCCAUGGCUCAGUUGCCCUGCACGUACACGCACGGCAAGUAAUCGAUCGAUCAGCACGCGGAGUCAAAGUGUACGAUACGCCUCGAGAUCGACGGAACAGCAGAACUCACCGUAGGCGAUGGCGGAACCGACGCCGGCGAAGACGAAGAGGAGGGUGGCGAUGAACUCGGCCACGUAGGCCUUGAUGGAGGUGGUGCUGAAGGAGUCGCCGACGCUUCCGAACGCGAGCUUCACCAUCUUGCCUUCGCUUUGCUCUUCGAGCUACACCGAAAGCUUUGGCUCUCUGCGCUUGAGAUUGCUUACUAAUCUGAUGCAGC
rnacentral:lncRNA from 1 species